rnacentral:rRNA from 1 species
GACGAACGCUGGCGGCGUGCUUAACACAUGCAAGUCGAGCGGUAAGGCCCCUUCGGGGUACGACGAGCGGCGAACGGGUGAGUAACACGUGAGCAACCUACCCUUCACUUCGGGAUAAGCCUCGGAAACGGGGUCGUAAUACCGGAUAUCACUGACUACUUCAUGGUGGUUGGUUGAAAGUUCUGGCGGUGGGGGAGUGGGCGUCGCGGCCGUAUCAGCUUGUUGGUGGGGUAAGUGGCCUACCAAGGCGUCGACGGGUAGGCCGGCCUGAGAGGGCGACCGGCCACACUGGGACUGAGACACGGCCCACGACUCCUACGGGAGGCAGCAGUGGGGAAUAUUGCGCAAUGGACGGAAGUCUGACGCAGCAACGCCGCGUGAGGGAUGAAGGCCU